rnacentral:rRNA from 1 species
CCUACGGGAGGCAGCAGUGGGGAAUAUUGGACAAUGGGGGGAACCCUGAUCCAGCCAUGCCGCGUGUGUGAAGAAGGCCCUCGGGUUGUAAAGCACUUUCAGUGAGGAAGAACGCCUGGUGGUUAAUACCCAUCAGGAAAGACAUCACUCACAGAAGAAGCACCGGCUAACUCCGUGCCAGCAGCCGCGGUAAUACGGAGGGUGCGAGCGUUAAUCGGAAUUACUGGGCGUAAAGCGCGCGUAGGUGGCUUGAUAAGCCGGUUGUGAAAGCCCCGGGCUCAACCUGGGAACGGCAUCCGGAACUGUCAAGCUAGAGUGCAGAAGAGGAAGGUAGAAUUCCCGGUGUAGCGGUGAAAUGCGUAGAGAUCGGGAGGAAUACCAGUGGCGAAGGCGGCCUUCUGGACUGACACUGACACUGAGGUGCGAAAGCGUGGGUAGCAAACAGGAUUAGAUACCCUAGUAGUC